CCCUGUCCGGGCCGCCCCUCCUGGCAGCGCAUUCGGAUCCAAUGGUCGGAGAUGUUGAGGAUCACCAAUGGGUGCAGCGCGACCGCAACGCUGCCCGGGACCCCCCCCGCCAUCACCGGCGGCGCUGCCGCGUCCACCUCCAUCCCGGCGCCGUUACUCCCCGCGGCCGCCGCCGCUCCUCCUCCCGCCGCCGCAGCCGCCGCCGCCGCCAUUGCCGCCGGACGGCGCCGCACUGCGCAUGCGCCGGCCGGAAGGGGCGGGGUUUCCGGCUGCGCGCACGCGCGGAGCGGAAGAGGGAGGUUGGCGCAUGCGCAGCGAGCGCGAAUCGCACCGCGCAUGUGCAGAACGAGCCGGCACG
rnacentral:lncRNA from 1 species